rnacentral:rRNA from 1 species
AUUGAACGCUGGCGGCAUGCCUUACACAUGCAAGUCGAACGGCAGCACGGGAGCAAUCCUGGUGGCGAGUGGCGAACGGGUGAGUAAUAUAUCGGAACGUGCCCAGUCGUGGGGGAUAACGUAGCGAAAGCUACGCUAAUACCGCAUACGAUCUAUGGAUGAAAGCGGGGGAUCGCAAGACCUCGCGCGAUUGGAGCGGCCGAUAUCAGAUUAGGUAGUUGGUGAGGUAAAGGCUCACCAAGCCGACGAUCUGUAGCUGGUCUGAGAGGACGACCAGCCACACUGGGACUGAGACACGGCCCAGACUCCUACGGAGGCAGCAGUGGGGAAUUUUGGACAAUGGGCGCAAGCCUGAUCCAGCAAUGCCGCGUGCAGGAUGAAGGCCUUCGG